rnacentral:rRNA from 1 species
AGAGUUUGAUCMUGGCUCAGGACGAACGCUGGCGGCGUGCCUAACACAUGCAAGUCGAACGGAGAAUUUCAAUAAGCUUGCUUAGAGAAAUUCUUAGUGGCGGACGGGUGAGUAACGCGUGGGUAACCUACCCAUAAAGCCGGGACAACCCUUGGAAACGAGGGCUAAUACCGGAUAAUCUUGAGUUGUGGCAUCACGAUUCAAGGAAAGAUGGCCUCUGAAAAUGCUAUCGAUUAUGGAAGGACCCGCGUCUGAUUAGCUAGUUGGUGGGGUAAAGGCCUACCAAGGCGACGAUCAGUAGCCGGCCUGAGAGGGUGAACGGCCACACUGGGACUGAGACACGGCCCAGACUCCUACGGGAGGCAGCAGUGGGGAAUCUUCCGCAAUGGACGAAAGUCUGACGGAGCAACGCCGCGUGUAUGAUGAAGGUCUUCGGAUUGUAAAGUACUGUCUUUGGGGAAGAACGGUUUUCUUGAGAAGAUUGAGGAGACAUGACGGUACCCAAGGAGGAAGCCCCGGCUAACUACGUGCCAGCAGCCGCGGUAAU